ensembl:lncRNA
UGGUGGGCAGGGUGGGGUGGGGUGCGGCGGGGUGGGCACAGGCUAGGCUCUAAGUCCAGGUGUCUGGAAAGACCUUCCAGGUCUCCCAUCAACUUCUUCUUUUAAAAUAUGUUUGUUUAUUUGGCCGUGCUGGGUCUUAAUUGCAGCCCGUGGGAUCUUACGUCCCUUCCAGGAACUGAACCCCCAUCCCCCGCAUUGGAAGGCAGACUCGUAACCACUGGACCGCCAGUGAAGUCCCUCCCACCACAUCCCAGACACGUUCUCUGCCCCGGUUUUCCUUCCCUCUUAUCCUUCAGGGCUGGGAGAGUAUGGCAAACUCAUUUGUCCAAAGUACUGGGGACCCAGGUCACAACCUGCAGCCGGGUAAAUUUACACAGAAAGGCACCCAAGCUGGGCAGGGCGACGCUCAGUGUAAAGGAACGACUCUCUAACGCGAUUCAGUGAGAUCCUGCUGGGUGGAGAGACACACUCAGGCAGGGUGCCCCCGAAUCACAGCCCAGAGGCGACAGCCCGCCUUCCCUAACCCCAUAAUGGGCACAUCCGUGCAGCAAGAGCCACCGGGCCCUGCUCCCUGUGCCGUUGCCGAACGCCACGUGCCUUCCCCGCUGUAUUUCCAGCCUUCACGGCAGCCCUGCGAACUCGGGAGCUUUGCGCUUGCUUUACUAAUAGCAGCAAGGCACAGGCAAGCCUGUCCCCAGAGCCUGCGUUCCUGCUCACUUACAUCCACGUUGUUCAGUCUGCAGGCUGUCACCCACUCGUGGGGUGUGAAAUCAGUGCAGUGGAUCCUGAGCACAACUUUUUAAUAGAAUAAGGUGGAAGAGAGCUUAAAAAAAAAAACAAAAAGCAGUUCACACCGUCAUGGAAGGCUGCUGUCAUAAAGCUGUGGCUUCAGGUGAAAAUCAUGAAUGAAGCCGUAAAAGGAAAGAUGACGUGUCCGUGGCUCCUUUUUCAACGGCACGUGGACAGAGAACGCAAGCAGACCACGUGAUCCAUCGAGCCAAAACCCUCUGUUGUUCUGCACGCUUACUGCUACUUCGCUGCUGCCGAUUGUUAAUUACUGUCAGGUAACACUUGGGAGAUUAAUGGACCUCUCAGUCGAAACAAUAAAGGCUAUUAAACUCACCUGGCAGAAAGCUGAGAGCGAGUUUUGCUGUGCUGCUCUUCCUGCCGCUGGGUGAUCCUGCAUCUCAGCCCACUGUCUCCUCAGUCCUGCUCACAACUAUUUGAGAGAGAAUCCUGAAGCGGUGAAGAUGAAGCGAAAGACUGCCCUGAAAGAGACGGCCACGGCACUGGAACCACAUCAGGGUCUUUUCAAACAAGUCAGCUCUUCGCAUCAGAUGGCCAAAGUAUUGGAGUUUCAGCUUCAGCAUCAGUCCUUCCAGUGAAAACUCCGGACUGAUCUCCUUUAGGACGGACUGGUUGGAUCUCCUUGCAGUCCAAGGGACUCUCAAGAGUCUUUACAACACCUCAGUUCAAAAGCAUCACAUCAAUGAAGAGGUCAAAAUCUCUGGCAGCAAGUGAGGCUGGAUACAAGUGCUCUGCACCUUCUCUCAACCUCUUGCAGGGCUGGUCCCUCUCACCGGCUGGCCCGGCCCUGGCCCAAGGGGGCUCACCUCCAUCACUUGGAGUAGAAAGGAGAAAGCCUGUCACUCCCAGCAUUCCCAGCUCCAAGUCCUGGGAUUCACUCUGAUUGGUCCUGCUUUGGUCACAUGUUCACCUCUGAGCCAAUCCCUGUGGCCAGAGAAACAGAACGCACCAAUUGGCUUAGUUUGAAUCACGGGCUCCAGUCCUUGGUCCCUGCUCUGGUAAGAGAAAUGGGAAAGGGGAGAUGGAUGCUUGGAGAAGCAGAGAGCAAGUCUCUAUUCCCUCAGGCUCUGGUUCCAUUUCUGCCGCUGCCUGGUCAUGUGACCUGGGCCAUCCAUUCCCCUUUAUAGGCUCAGUGGACUACAGUAAAUGAUUUAAAAUCUUGACUUCAUUUUUUUUUUUUUUUUAACUUUUUUUCAAACUCUUACAUGGAAGUGCACUGUGUGAGUCAGGUCCAACCGGACAGUCUGUCCUGGAGGUGGGGGAAGGGCGAGGCCCCUCGGCCUCCAGGCCCCCUUCCUUGCCCCGUGGGGGCCCCAGGAUUCCCACUGUCCCCGCCACCCUGGCAGCCCACGGCCACCUGAGUCAGCAUGAGCCCUGCACCUCUCCUGCACACCAUCCAGGGAACCCUGGACACGGCGAGGUGGCAGCCGCAGGGUCUCAGUGUCCAAAGGGGAGGCUAGGGAUUUGUGAACCCCACUCCCACCAAGGCCCAGCCCCUCAGCACCCUCAGCUGUUUCAGAAAGUCCCUGUCCCUGACCAUGACCUCACCCUGACAAGGAAAUGGUGGGCGUGGGACGGUACAGGCAGAGACUUUAUCUCUGUGGGCGGCUGGGCCAGAAGCCAGGCUGGGGGAGAGAGGGUGACAGCUGUGAACAGAGCCACCUUUGACUCUGGAGGACAAUGCCCUCCCAGUGUCCCCAUAACCCCUUCCUGGUCCCCAGAGCAGGUUAGGUCAAUACUGAGUUGUUUCAAGAUGAUCAUAAAGAGUGACAGCCAAGCUCCUCUCCUACCCUGGCAAUUCGCAGUGCAUAAAAUCCUUUCCUGCUCUUUGGCUCAAUUUUUUUUUUUGUUUAAAAAAUGCAUUGGGGGGUUGCACCACAUCUUGAAGCAAAUAGGACCUUUGAUCUUCGUUGCAGCCUGAGGGAUCUGUAGUUGCAGCAUGUGGGAUCUUGUUCCUCGACCAGAGAUCGAACCCGGGCCCCUGCACUGGGAGUGUGGAGUCCACCAGGAAGUCCCAGCUCAACUGUUUUUGACAACAGCCACAAGAGGCAGCGAGACAAGGGUUAGGUCCCAUUGUGUGAGCUGACAUUGACUGAGCCCCUGUUAAAAUGUUAGUCACUCAGUCGUGUCCGACUCUUUGUGACCCCAUGGACUGCAGCCCCCCGGGCUGCUCUGUCCACAGGAUUCUCCAGGCAAGAAUACUAAAGUGGGGCGCCAUUCCCUUCUCCAAGAGAUCUUCCCGACCCAGGGAUCAAACCCAGGUCUUCUGCAUUACAGGCGGAUUCUUUACCAUCUGAGCCACCAGGGAGCCCCUGCCCUGCGCUAAAUACCUUGUCGACUCAUGUCACCCUCAGUACUGAGAGGAGGCAGGCAGGCACUGUUGUUAUCCCUGUCUCCGAAGAGAACUCUGCAGAGACUUGGGUAGGUGAGCCCAAGCCACUCAGCUGGACAUGGCGAAGCUUCCUCCUGAACCCGUGUCUUCAACUCAAACCAUACGAGGAGCAGUUGACGCAACCACAGCUGCUGUUUCUGUGGAAGAAUAGACUGUCACCUUCGGCAAGUCCUCAAAGGACAGAAUAGGAGAGAAGGAGUGCGUGGGAAUUCUGAGGACAGAGCGAUGCCAACACCAGGAUGCUGCAGGGACACAGAUGCUGACUGGACCUGAGAAAGAACACGGUGACACCCAGAGCUGAGACCAAGGGGAGGGCAGCCUGGUGAGGCCGCGUGCGGGCGGAGGCUGGAUGGCACCGUGUACCUGGGGUUCCCACACUGCUGGGGGCUGGGCAAACACGGUCCCAAUGCUGGAGUUAGAAGUUUUAUGUAUUUCACUAGCAGACCCCGUCUCCGGCCUCAGCCCUCCCCACCCACUCUCCAGAGAACAUCCCUCCACCGUCUUCACCAAACUACCCGAAACUUAGCCGCAUACAACCGCCACCUUAUUACGCUCAGAGUCUUGUUGGUCAAGAGUGGACAGAGCCCAUCGGGGAUGCCCUGACCCCGCUCUGUGAUGUUUGGGGCCUCAGCUGGGAAAACUCAAUGCUGAGUGCCUCUGUGGGUGGGGCUGGAACCAUCUGGAGAGGUCUUCGCUCACAUGCCUGGUUGCUGAUGCGGGCCAUCAGCAGGACCUCAGCAGGGCUGUUGGCUGGACCACUUACCCAGGGUCUCUCCAAGCAGAUGAGUUUGGGCUUCCUCCCAGCAUGGCAGGCGGGUUCAAAGAACAAAUAUCCUGAGAGAGCAAGGUGGCAAAGCAUUUUUAUGAACUGACUUUGGAGAUCACAGAGUGUCAUCCACAAAGCUCCACCGUGUACCUAGGAAGCCCCUCCCGGGCCCAAGGAAGCGGACAGAGACCCCAGCACUGGAGGGGAGGAAUGUCAAAUCACGUUGAAAGAAGAGCAAGCGAGAUUGGAGAGCAUGCUAUAGCCGUCUUCGGAAAAAAGAAAAAAACCCGCGACACAGGCCCCUUCGGAUGGGGUUCCAGCCCUCAGCCUGGAUGAUGGGGUCCCACUUACGCCUCACUGGUCUCUGCACACGCACUUCCUUGGGACUAGAAAACUCAUCCACCAUCCCAAUCCACGCCCCCCUUUGCCUGGCCCAGCCCUACUUGCCCUCCACGGCUCAGCAGGGACACCACCUCCUCCCAGGAAGCCUGCCCUGAACCCUGCCCCCACCGCAGCCGAGAUGGGGCCCCCUUUCGACCACAGCCACAUGUGACCUGCUGGGUGCAGCGGCUUCUCUACUCUGCGAUCUCUAAUAAGAGGGUGGGCCCCACGAGGGCGUGAAUGGUGUUCACCACGUGUCUACCACUAUCUCCCCAGCACUGGGCCAAAUUCCAGCCCCUUUCUGGGUCCUGCUGAUGGACAGCCCACAGCCACUUCCCCCGGGAAGCCUUCCCGGGUUGUCCACGUGUGAGGUGUGUCUCCGGCUCUCCCGCAGGCCCCACUGCAGGCGUGUGGGAAGGCUGGGAUGAAAGCCCGGCGCUCCGCCCCUGUUCCCAAGCCAGAGCUUGUUAUUGCAGUAAAAGAGGCAGCAAAUUACCAGACGGGCUGGGAGCUGUAAUGAUUAAAACAGCGUAUUGUUCUUGGGGCUGCUAAUUGCAUACCUGAGAAAUGAGGCCUGCUCAGCCGUGGUGCCAGGCCCAGCCUGGCAGGGAGCCAGACACAGCCAGGCGACAGGGCAGAAGGGGGUGUCCCAGAAGCAGCAUGUCCCCAAAGGGAGUGGCUGAGCAGCCUCACUGGGGGGCCCCACUGAAAAUACAGAUUUCCAGGCCCUGGCUCAGACCCACUAACGCUGUAUCUGCGGGGGCAGGCCCAGGACCAUGGAUUCUUGACAAGCUCCCAAGGUGAUUCUGAAGGUCCAAGCCUGGGUUUCUGACUGCCCCACCCCAGAGCCAGAUGGAGGCCCGCCUCACUGGCCCAGUUCACCUGGAGAAUGAGGCAAGGCUGAGAGAGUGGCUGCGGGGGAGGGCAUGGAGAGGGCGGUUUCCCCGGGAACUCGGGUCAGAUCUCUUCCACAUGAGCUGGGGGACCCGGGGAGGGUCAGCUCGCCCCUCUGAGCACAGGCUGAUUUUCCCGGAAGCCAAGGGAGCGUAGGCUCGCAGAGCCCCCCGAGAAUCCGAGAGGGAGUUCACCAGGGGGUCCACCCAGCUGGCGUGUGUUGGGCCAUUUACAGAAGUAAGAUGCUUUGGUCUUCUUAGAGUCUCUCCAAAUUGCGUAGGCUUUGGGCUCGCCUAGAAUUGCAAGAGCCAUCACAGGGUGCUGCGGGGAUGGAAGGGGCAGAUGUAGAUCAAGCUGCAGCCCAGAGCCCGGCCACCAAGCGCUCAGGGAGAGAGCGCCUCCGCGUCCUCACCCGUGAGAGGGCCGUGGGGCCGCGGCUCCCUCCUGACGCCGUGCAAGCGUCCGAUGGGUGAAUACAGACGAAGCGCCCAGCUCAGCCCCUGGAGCAGGGCAAGUGCUCUGCACGCCUGGCCAGGCGUGACCCGCCGACGAGCAACCGUGGGACCCAGCGAGUGUGUGAGCAAGCGAGCAGGCCAGCUCGCGAGGGACACGUGAUGCGUGUGGAACCCUGUUCCCCGGAAACGCACAAAGACGCUGAGACCCCCUUUCGCCAAGCCAGUCUAAGAACCGGCCUGCCAAGGGGCAGGGGGCUGGGCUCAGCGACCCAGAUUUCCUGUAGGUCAGGACAAGAGCGACAGAAAAGCCUGGACCUUUGGCCAGUGGUUUCUGGGAAGACACCUGGAUCAGAGGAGGCUGGAAGGCUAGAACAGGAGGAGGGCUGGGGGCCGGAGUUUCAUCCAGGGCAACCCCGCUCCUGUACUCCCGGUUCUACCAGCAAUCAUGAAUGACAUUUUCAUGGAGGACUUCCUGGAGGAGGCGACUUUUGAGGGAGGGAAGUGACAGGGAAGGGCAGAAAGAAGUGCAAGCCAGGAGACACGGGACGC